UACGGCCGCAAGGUUGAAACUCAAAGGAAUUGACGGGGGCCCGCACAAGCGGUGGAGCAUGUGGUUUAAUUCGACGCAACGCGAAGAACCUUACCAAGGCUUGACAUCCUGCGAACCUUUCAGAGAUGAGAGGGUGCCCUUCGGGGAACGCAGAGACAGGUGGUGCAUGGUUGUCGUCAGCUCGUGUCGUGAGAUGUUGGGUUAAGUCCCGCAACGAGCGCAACCCUUAUCCCUAGUUGCCAGCGAGAGAGUCGGGGACUCUAGGGAGGCUGCCCGGGACGACCGGGAGGAAGGCGGGGAUGACGUCAAAUCAUCAUGCCCCUUAUGUCUUGGGCUACACACGUGCUACAAUGGGCGGUACAAACCGAAGCGAAGCCGAGAGGUGGAGCGAACCGGAGAAAGCCGUUCCCAGUUCGGAUUGCUCUCUGCAACUCGAGAGCAUGAAGGCGGAAUCGCUAGUAAUCGCGGGUCAGCAUACCGCGGUGAAUACGUUCCCGGGCCUUGUACCCCCCGCCCGUCU
rnacentral:rRNA from 1 species